AGUCACUGACAUUAGAUACCCGUGUAGUCCCAGCCCUAAACGAUGCGCGUUAGGUGUAUCGGUGACCACGAGUCACCGAGGUGCCGAAGGGAAACCGUGAAACGUGCCGCCUGGGAAGUACGGUCGCAAGGCUGAAACUUAAAGGAAUUGGCGGGGAGCACCACAAGAGGUGGAGGCUGCGGUUCAAUUGGACUCAACGCCGGAAAACUCAUCGGGAGCGACAGCAGUAUGAUUGCCAGGUUGAUGACCUUGCUUGACAAGCUG
rnacentral:rRNA from 1 species